rnacentral:rRNA from 1 species
GUUGAACGCUGGCGGCGUGCCUAACACAUGCAAGUCGAACGGAGUCCAGCCUUUAAGACCUUCGGGUCAAAGAGGGGAAGACUGAGUGGCGGACGGGUGAGUAACACGUGGGCAACCUGGCUCAUAGAGGGGGAUAACAGAGAGAAAUUUCUGCUAAUACCGCAUAAGCACACACUGCCGCAUGGCAGAGGGUGAAAAGAGAAUCGCUAUGAGAUGGACCCGCGUCUGAUUAGCCAGUUGGCAGGGUAAGAGCCUACCAAAGCGACGAUCAGUAGCCGAUCUGAGAGGAUGAACGGCCACAUUGGGACUGAGACACGGCCCAAACUCCUACGGGAGGCAGCAGUGGGGGAUAUUGCACAAUGGGGGGAACCCUGAUGCAGCGACGCCGCGUGAGUGAAGAAGUAUUUCGGUAUGUAAAGCUCUAUCAGCAGGGAAGAUAAUGACAGUACCUGAAUAAGAAGCCCCGGCUAACUACGUG